GAAAUUUAUUCUAAUUAAUAAUAAUAAAAAAACACCUGAAGGUUUGAUUCACAUCUUGACCCGGACCGGUUCUGACUGCAGCAUCCAGCUGCAGCUCCAUCAGGGGGUCUCCAUCAGGGGCCUCGUCAGGUGUCUCCAUCAGGGGCCUCGUCAGGUGUCUCCAUCAGGGGUCUCCAUCAGGGGUCUCCAUCAGGUGUCUCCAUCAGGGGCCUCGUCAGGUGUCUCCAUCAGGGGCCUCGUCAGGUGUCUCCAUCAGGGGCCUUGUUGCCCUCAGGGCCCCUCAGAGCUCCUCCCCUCCUGUGUUUUCAGCAGCAGUUUGACUGACAGCUGAGCUCUGGUUGCGUGUGAGCGAGGUUUGGAGGUCAGGAAGGCGUGUUCAGAUCAUUUCAGUUUUCUCGUUCUGCRGCUCCCAACCAAGAGAAAUGACAUCAUCACAGCAGCCGCGAUGCCACUGAGCUCUUCCACACCUGCUGAAAGUCCAGAUCCUCCUGGACCUUUCUGACCUGGUGGAGAGCUGAUGGUCCAGGUCCAGGACCUGAGAGACCUGGACCUCCAGCUCAUCUAAUGCUGAUGCUCAGCCCACACUGGGCCAAUGACACCAAACAGCAGCAGGUUUUCAACAGGACUGAGAAGAAUCAAAAUGUCCUGGAUCAUUAUGUUUUGCUUAUUCUAGCUUGUUUUGCUUAUUUUAGCUACCGUUUAGUUCAUUUUAUACAUUUUAGCUUACAUUUUGCUAAUUUUCGCUACUGUUUUGUUCAUUUUACAUCGUUUUUCAUAUUAGCUAUUGCUUUGAUAUUUUAGCUACUGUUUUGUACAUUUUAGCUUAUGUUUUGCUUAUUUUAACAAUUGUAUAGCUACUAUUUUAGCUACUGUUUUGUUCAUUUUAGCUUGUUUUGCUUAUUUUAGACAUUAUUUUUGCUAUCGUUUUGGUAUUCUCCCCAGUCGUGAACA